UUUUCUUCUAGACUCAACAACGGCCAACAAUCAAGGGGGCUCCUAUGGUCGGUCGAGGCUCUGGUACCAACUUGUCACGCCCAAUAUGAGACCCUAUCCAAAAGGAACUCGAAGGUCCCACCAAGGAUAGACCCGCAUAUUGAAACACUUUUGCAAGGUGGAUAUCAUUACAUCAACAUUACAUAAUAGAUGGGGAUACAUACAUAAGGCAUACAAUGCCACACGAAUACAACAUCAUCAUACAUUAGAUCAUCAUCCGGCUACGGAUGGAACACAAACAAAAACUCAAACGACAUCCACCCUGCUAGCCCAGGCUGCCGACCUGGAACCUAUCCCCUGAUCAAAGAAGAAGCAGAAGCAGCACUUCAAGACAAGCAAACAUCGCUCUCGCGUCAUGAUCAUCGCACAACCUGUACCUGCAACUGUUGUUGUAGUAAUCUGUGAGCCACGAGGACUCAGCAAUCCCAUUACCAUGGGUAUCAAGACUAGCAAAGCUUAAUAGGAAAGGAAGGGGUAAAGUGGUGAGGCUGCAACAGCGACUAAGCAUAUAUGGUGGCUAACAUACGCAAAUAAGAGCGAGAAGAGAGCAAGCGGAAACGGUCGUGAAGCUAGCAAUGAUCAAGAAGUGAUCCUGAACUCCUACUUACGUCAAGCAUAACACAGAAACCGUGUUCACUUCCCAGACUCCGCCGAAAAGAGACCAUCACGGCUACACACACGGUUGAUGUGUUUUAAUUCGGAUCUGGUGUCAAGUUGUCUACAACCGGACAUUAACAAAUUCCCAUCUGCCUAUAACCGCAGGCACGGCUUUCGAAAGAUUAUACCCUGCAGGGGUGUCCCAACUUAGCCCAUGACAAGCUCUCACGAUCAACGAAGGAAUAGACCUUCUCCCAGGAAGACCCGAUCAGACUCGGAAUCCUGGUUUACAAGACAUUUCGACAAUGGUAAAACAAGACCAGCAAGACCGCCCGAUGCGCCGACAAUCCCGAUAGGAGCUGCACCUAUCUCGUUCUCAGGGCAACACCGGAUGAGCAAUCCGUACAACUAAAACCAGACCUCAAGUUUCCCUGAGGGGGCGCUCCAAAGGGCUCUAGUUCAGACCAACACUUAGAUAAGCACUGGCCCGGGGGGGCUAUAAUAAAGAUGACCCUCGAGAGAGCGACUCCCAAGGGAAAAGUAGGUGGUGGUGAGGCAAAUGGUAAAAGUCAAUGUUGGGCCUUGCUGGAGGAGUUUUAUUCAAAGCGAACUGUCAAGGGGGUUCCAUAAAUCACCCGACCGCGUAAGGAACGCAAAAUCCGGGAACAUAACACCGGUAUGACGGAAACUAGGGCGGCAAGAGUGGAACAAAACACCAGGCAAAAGGCCGAGCCUUCCACCCUUUACCAAAUAUAUAGAUGCAUUAAUAAUAUAAGAGAUAUUGUGAUAUCCCAACCAAAAUCCUGUCCACCAUGGAGCAAUCUUCAACUUCACCUGCAACUAGCAACGCUAUAAGAGGGCUGAGCAAAGCGGUAACAUAGCCAAACAAUGGUUUACAUAGGAAAGGUGUCAAAGGUUAGAGGUUCAUGGCAAUUUGGGGAGGCUUGAAGAGCAACCGAUAGGUAACGCAGCAUAGCGAUAGAACGAAGCAACUAGCAUAGCAAUGAUAGUAUGAGAUCCAGGGUCGCGGUCAUCUUGCCUGAAAUCCCGCUAGGAAGAAGAACGAGUCCAUGAAGAAGACAAGCGGAAGUAGUCGAACGACUUCCUCACAACUCCGGAACGAAACCGAAGGCAACCCGGAAAGAAGCAAACAACAUGGUAAACAAACAUCACAUAAACAUGGCAUGAUGCACAAACAAGUAUGAUGCAUGUCCGGUUUAAUGAGGCAUGGCAUGGCAAAGUGCAACAAACAAUACUACAAGUUAAGUGGAGCUCAAUAUGCAACGAGUUGCAUAUUGACGAAACACCACAUGACUUAUUUAGUUCUCUCUCGUUUAGGUACACAACAAUAUUAAAUGUUAUUAAACAUGGCAAGAGGUGAAACAUAAUAAAACUACCCAUCUAGGCAAGUUUAAAAUGAGGCCGGAACAACAAACAACAAUUCCGGAAGAACCCCAUAUGCAUAUUUUAGAUUUGGUACUGUUCUGCCUAUUACAUAAUUUUCGAGUUGUUAAACAGGAAAAUAAAGUGCACCAUGUUAAUCUAGGCAUUUUCCCACCCCAUUUACAUAUAAAGUACAUUUAAAAUGGAGCUACGGUUAUUUAGUUAUGAAAUAAAUCAUUUUAGCAUGGCAUUAUGCAAAAUAAACACAAACAGCAUGUUAAACAUUUUAAACAUGGAUGAAAAUGGCAUAUUGUGAAACUAGAUGCAAUUCUAAUCAUUUUACAUAUAUGACAUGUUUAAUUUGGAUGCAUGGAUAAUUACUUAUGAACAUUUUAAAAUGAUGGCAUUUCAGUAAAUAUGCAUGCUCUGAAAAAUGCUAAAAUACCCAGGGUGGAAAAAAAAUAUGCACGGGCCCGAAGCAUCACAAUGCAGCGGCCCAGAUGAGGAUUCGGCCCAUGUGGGUGUGAGGGCCCAAAUGCCUGCGUGCGUGUGUGUGGCAAAAAUAAAUAAAACAGCUGGGAAUUAAAAAGGGGUGAGCCUGGGAUUCGAACCCAGGUCUCCUGAAUGGAGGCGCGGCGCGACGACCAACUAGGCUACAGCUAUGCUUGUGGAAAAGAAGAAGGCCAGGGCUAAUUGAACAGAGACCAAACAGGGCGACCUUUGGAGCCAUUGGCUCACGGUCAAACUCACCGGCGACAGUAACAACAGAUGGCGCCUACUGCAGCUACCAAGCGCCGGCGGGGUGCCGAAAUAGGUGAGGGUGCGCGUGUGCAUGGAGGGGCUUUUGCUGCUGUUGGUGAUGCGUGUGGACUCGCUGAAGAUGCAUACGUUGGACCUGAACCAAGCAGAGCAAAUAACAGAGAGACAGGGCCAGGCUUGCAGGUCGGGGUGCUCGUGGGUGCGACAGAGACUGUCGAGCAGCAUGGCGAGCGCGGGCAAACGGCUCGACGGAGGUGCUCGAGCACGAGCAGGCUCGGCUCGGCCCGGGCGAUGCACGGCGAGGCCGGGUGAGUACAGAGGUGCGGCGAGGCGAAGCACACAGGGUGCACACGUGCUGGAGUGCGUGCAAUAGGUGAAUCGAGUAGGGCCUAGAACACGAGCUUGGGCUUGCUGCCAUGGUCGUACAUGACGGACAUGGCCUCGGACACCAUGGGAUCGGCGCCUACCGCGACGAAUCAAACCAGAGGGAGAGAUGGGGAGGAGCGGCUGCUCACCGAGGGCUCGGGACAAGAAGUUGAGGUCGGAAGCGCGACCACGGACGCGCUGGUUGCGGAGGUGAUCGGCUCCGCGGAGCUUAGGAAGCAGAGCAGACGACGUCGAGGAACUUGGCGUCCCGCGGCGAUGAAGAGGAAGAAGACGUCGGCGUGGACGGAGCUCCGGGUCCAUGUGGUCGCGUGCGUAGCCGUGGAAGAAGACGGAGGCGUCCACGACGUCCUCGUGGAAGAAGGAGACGGCUAUGGCGAGGAUCAAGCCGGAGAAGAGCUCCCCUCGGCCAUGGCGCGGGCAACGGUUGUUGUGGAAUGGCGUGGCUUACCGGG
rnacentral:lncRNA from 1 species